UGCUAGAGACACGUGACUGGUGC
rnacentral:miRNA from 1 species